rnacentral:rRNA from 1 species
CAGUCGCCGCGGUAAUACGAAGGGGGCUAGCGUUGUUCGGAAUUACUGGGCGUAAAGCGCACGUAGGCGGAUUGUUAAGUUAGGGGUGAAAUCCCAGGGCUCAACCCUGGAACUGCCUUUAAUACUGGCAAUCUCGAGUCCGAGAGAGGUGAGUGGAAUUCCGAGUGUAGAGGUGAAAUUCGUAGAUAUUCGGAGGAACACCAGUGGCGAAGGCGGCUCACUGGCUCGGUACUGACGCUGAGGUGCGAAAGCGUGGGGAGCAAACAGGAUUAGAUACCCGCGUAGUCCCUGUCUCUUAUAC